UGAGGAAUCUUGCGCAAUGGGGGCAACCCUGACGCAGCAACGCCGCGUGAGUGAUGAAGGCCUUCGGGUCGUAAAGCUCUGUCAGGUGGGAAGAAACUCCCCAUGGUAAAUAAUCAUGGGGAUUGACGGUACCGCCAGAGGAAGCACCGGCUAACUCCGUGCCAGCAGCCGCGGUAAUACGGAGGGUGCAAGCGUUGUUCGGAAUUAUUGGGCGUAAAGAGCGUGUAGGCGGUUAGGUAAGUCAGAUGUGAAAGCCCUUGGCUUAACCAAGGAAGUGCAUUUGAAACUACUUAGCUUGAGUACGGGAGGGGGAAGCGGAAUUCCCGGUGUAGAGGUGAAAUUCGUAGAUAUCGGGAGGAACACCGGUGGCGAAGGCGGCUUCCUGGACCGAUACUGACGCUGAGACGCGAAAGCGUGGGGAGCAAACA
rnacentral:rRNA from 1 species